rnacentral:ncRNA from 1 species
GUGUUAUAUGAAAGAAGAGAAUGUUAGCACUCCCCUUGAUAAGGACAGAAGAGGUCCUAGUGGCCUUUACCAUACAUCUACAGUUAAGGCAUUGCUAAUCGUAUUAGUCAAUAAGUUUGU